AUGCACGCUGGCGGCGUGCUUAACACAUGCCAGUCGAACGGAAAGGCUCCUGCUUGCAGGGGUACUCGAGUGGCGAACGGGUGAGUAACACGUGGGUGAUCUGCCCUGCACUUCGGGAUAAGCCUGGGAAACUGGGUCUAAUACCGGAUAGGACCACAUUUUGGAUGGUGUGGUGGAAAGUUUUUCGGUGUGGGAUGAGCUCGCGGCCUAUCAGCUUGUUGGUGGGGUAAUGGCCUACCAAGGCGUCGACGGGUAGCCGGCCUGAGAGGGUGUACGGCCACAUUGGGACUGAGAUACGGCCCAGACUCCUACGGGAGGCAGCAGUGGGGAAUAUUGCACAAUGGGCGCAAGCCUGAUGCAGCGACGCCGCGUGGGGGAUGACGGCCUUCGGGUUGUAAACUCCUUUCGCUAGGGACGAAGCGCAAGUGACGGUACCUGGAGAAGAAGCACCGGCUAACUACGUG
rnacentral:rRNA from 1 species